UACGUAGGGGGCAAGCGUUGUCCGGAUUUAUUGGGCGUAAAGAGCGUGUAGGCGGCCUGAAAGGUCAGCUGUGAAAACUCGAGGCUCAACCUCGAGACGUCGGUUGAAACCAUCUGGCUAGAGUCCGGAAGAGGAGAGUGGAAUUCCCGGUGUAGCGGUGAAAUGCGCAGAUAUCGGGAAGAACACCCGUGGCGAAGGCGGCUCUCUGGGACGGUACUGACGGCUGAGACGGCGAAAAGCGUGGGGAGCGAACAGGG
rnacentral:rRNA from 1 species